rnacentral:rRNA from 1 species
GGACCGAACCCACUGUCUUUGAAAAGCCAGGGGAUGACUUGUGGAUAGGGGUGAAAGGCUAAUCAAACUCGGUGAUAGCUGGUUCUCCCCGAAAGCUAUUUAGGUAGCGCCUCGGACGAAUACCAUUGGGGGUAGAGCACUGUUUCGGCUAGGGGGUCAUCCCGACUUACCAAACCGAUGCAAACUCCGAAUACCUACAAGUGCCGAGCAUGGGAGACACACGGCGGGUGCUAACGUCCGUCGUGAAAAGGGAAACAACCCAGACCGUCAGCUAAGGUCCCAAAGUUAUGGUUAAGUGGGAAACGAUGUGGGAAGGCUUAGACAGCUAGGA